GCAUUCGAGCUGUCCUUCCCAAUCUUGUCUGAUCUUGGAAAAUAAGCAGGGUUGGGUCUUGGUAAUAUUUGGAUUGGAGAACUGUUGAAAAUAGCAACUCUUGUAGGCU
rnacentral:rRNA from 1 species